UUGUUCACUUUGGACCCAUAUAUACUAAAAUUGGAAUGAUAAAGAGAAGAUUAGCAUAGCCUCUGCACAAGGAUCACAUGAAAAUUUGUGAAGUGUUCCAUAUUUUU
ensembl:snRNA U6 U6 spliceosomal RNA